UAGGGAAUCUUCGGCAAUGGACGAAAGUCUGACCGAGCAACGCCGCGUGAGUGAAGAAGGUUUUCGGAUCGUAAAACUCUGUUGUUAGAGAAGAACAAGGACGUUAGUAACUGAACGUCCCCUGACGGUAUCUAACCAGAAAGCCACGGCUAACUACGUGCCAGCAGCCGCGGUAAUACGUAGGUGGCAAGCGUUGUCCGGAUUUAUUGGGCGUAAAGCGAGCGCAGGCGGUUUCUUAAGUCUGAUGUGAAAGCCCCCGGCUCAACCGGGGAGGGUCAUUGGAAACUGGGAGACUUGAGUGCAGGAGAGGAGAGUGGAAUUCCAUGUGUAGCGGUGAAAUGCGUAGAUAGAUGGAGGAACACCAGUGGCGAAGGCGGCUCUCUGGUCUGUAACUGACGCUGAGGCUCGAAAGCGUGGGGAGCAAACAGG
rnacentral:rRNA from 1 species